GAUGAACGCUAGCGGAAGGCAUAAUACAUGCAAGUCGAACGGAUGUAGCAAUACAUUAGUGGCGCACGGGUGCGUAACGCGUAUGCAACCUACCUUCAUCAGGGGGAUAACUACCCGAAAGGGUGGCUAACACCGCAUAAUACUAUUGAGUGGCAUCACUUGAUAUUUAAAUCUGAGGAGGAUGAAGAUGGGCAUGCGUCUGAUUAGCUAGUUGGUGUGGUAACGGCGCACCAAGGCGACGAUCAGUAGGGGAACUGAGAGGUUGGUCCCCCACACUGGCACUGAGAUACGGGCCAGGCUCCUAUGGGAGGCAGCAGUAGGGAAUAUUGGUCAAUGGUGGGAACACUGAACCAGCCAUUCCGCGUGCAGGAAGAAGGGUCUCUGACUUGUAAACUGCUUUAGCAAGGGAAGAAAAAGCUCAUGCGUGAGAAAUUGACGGUACCUUGAGAAUAAGCACCGGCUAACUACGUGCCAGCCGCCGCGGUAAAAC
rnacentral:rRNA from 1 species